AGUUGAAUUCUCGGUCGCUUUUCCGUGGAAAAGGGUGCAAAAUCAGGGUUUUGGGGUCCGUGAGAGGGACCAAGGUCUAUGCCAAAGUACUGUACAGCAAACGCAGCAAAAUCCACUUAGCCGUCAGGCGUAUUUAUUGAUCGAAAUCUUACAGAAGCCCUUAAGCCAAAAUUCUUGUUUUUCUGUUGAUCAAUAGGCGUGCUUCAAGUCGUGUAGACGGCCUCCCUGCUAGAUGCUGAAGGCCCGGGUACCCUGCAACAUAAGUCAGAGGUUUAGCGGAGGACGUAGGCUGCAGCCUGGCUCAAACUUCCCCGAGCACUCUCACCCUGCGGAAAACAAGACAGGUGAUCAGACUGCCCAGGUGGACCGGGGAGUAUGCUACUUACAGGAAGUAGGUCUGCAGUGUCUGUUCCCUCCUCAUCCAAGACAAGAGGUCUUCCCGGCUUCUGCGGACCCCAAAGGGUGCCCAGAUCGUGGCUCCACCGCGCUGGGGGGCUCGUCCCCGGGAAGGUCUUCUCUAGGAAUCCCCUGUGAACAGAAGCGGAGAUGAGUACGAGGCGCAUGAGACCCGUAAAGCUGGCCUUACCUUUCUAGAGAGAGGACUCCACAUCGCCUGGUCAACAGGUAGGAUUCCUUUGCCAAGUCGCUUCCUAGGAUUAGAGUCAAAUUGCCUCUUUCCAGUUAGGAGCAGCACCUCUCUGGUGUUAGGCAGCUCGCAUCUGCCCCGAGUGGUCCGCUGCAGCUCUUUUUAUUUCGGCCGGCCCCUCAAGUCGCAGCUGAUGGGAUAGACUGGAGGGAGAGUCUCACCCUCAGCAGCGCCCUCCCCCUGGCUCAGGUUCUCGGUGGCUGAUUCGGCGUCCUCGCCUGCGACCUGUUCGCGUGGAGAAUCUUCAUUUUAUUGCUAAAGCUGAUCUUUUGUCGCGCCCGCCAUCA